UCAAACAAUGUUCACGGCAUCACAGAAUCUAACCAUUUAAAUCCAAAAUGGUUUCCAAUUAAAGACUUAAGGUCAUUAACUUCCCUGCAAGUGAUCUUCAAUCCUGUCCGGAAACAAGAUAAAAAGUGGAAGGUACUUGAACUUUGAUUGGAGUGGAUGUGAAGGACAUGGUCUGGCGAAUUAUGAGGCAGGCAAUCAAAAAUGACUUGGCUAAAGCGGAAAACACCAAACCAAAAUUUGGAGCAUAAAAACAUUGUGAUUGCACACAAACCAGAAGUAAAUGAUCUGCUGGUUGUCUUCCUGUGACUAAACACAUAACAGACCCUCAGCCAUCGUGUCACAGCGUUUAAUGCGUCUCUGGAGGUUGACAGAUGAACUGUGAGCUUUUUCUCACAGCAGGCCGAGCUGCUGAGUGAGAAACACCCUCACGCUUCCUGCAUGAACCAUCUCAACAAUUCACAUCAUUUACCCUGGGAAAAACGCCUCACUGCCAGCCACGACUUUCCAUGCAGUGCCGACAAAAAAUGAGA